rnacentral:rRNA from 1 species
AGAGUUUGAUCAUGCUCAGGACGAACGCUAGCGGUGUGCCUAAUACAUGCAAGUCGAACGGUUCUUUCUUUGAUGAAGCUUCGGCAGAUUCGUUGAAAGAAUAGUGGCGAACGGGUGAGUAAUGCAUGAGCAAUCUGCCCUAAAGACCGGGAUAAGCUUUCGAAAGGAAGUUUAAUACCGGAUAAUAAAAUCAGAUCGCAUGAUUUGAUUUUCAAAGGUAGCUUUUUAAGCCUCUGCUUUUGGAUGAGCUCAUGUCCUAUCAGCUAGUUGGUGAGGUAAAGGCUCACCAAGGCCAAGACGGGUAGCCGGUCUGAGAGGACGGUCGGCCACACUGGGACUGAGACACGGCCCAGACUCCUACGGGAGGCAGCAGUAGGGAAUCUUGCGCAAUGGGCGAAAGCCUGACGCAGCGACACCGCGUGGAGGAUGAAGGUUUUCGAAUCGUAAACUCCUGUCAAUAGAGGAGGAAGGUAUUAUAGGUUAAUAGCUUAUAAUAUUGACGGUACUUUAUAAGGAAGCCCCGGCUAACUACGUGCCAGCAGCCGCGGUAAUACGUAGGGGGCAAGCGUUGUCCGGAUUUAUUGGGCGUAAAGCGCACGCAGGUGGCUUUUCAAGUCGGAUGUGAAAUCUCUUAGCAAAACUAAGAAAUUGCAUCCGAAACUGGAUUGCUUGAGGUCGGGAGAGGAGAGUGGAAUUCUCGGUGUAGCGGUGAAAUGCGCAGAUAUCGAGAAGAACACCAUUAGCGAAGGCGGCUCUCUGGAACGAUACCGACACUAAGGUGCGAAAGCUAGGGUAGCAAACAGGAUUAGAUACCCUGGUAGUCCUAGCUGUAAACGAUGGGCACUGGAUGUAGGAAGAUAUCGAUUCUUCCUGUGUCGUAGCUAACGCGUUAAGUGCCCCGCCUGGGGAGUACGACCGCAAGGUUAAAACUCAAAUGAAUUGACGG